rnacentral:lncRNA from 1 species
AGAUGACCUAGACCUUGUGUUGGACCCUGGCAGCAUGUCUGGGCUUUGCAGAUCUCCAGAACUUUCUCGCCUUGCAACACUGCAACCCUACAUCCUUGGAACAGCAGAGCUCACUACCCCUCCUCCCAGCAUCUGGAAACCACUGUUCUGCUUUGUCUUUGUGGAUGUGACAACGCCAGCGGGUUCCUCUGGACUCCUUUUGCAGGAGUGUUCCAUUGGGAAUACGUUCUUAUCAUCGAAGGGGAAACUGAAACCAUAG